AAUCCAUAGGUUAAUGAGGCGAACCGGGGGAACUGAAACAUCUAAGUACCCCGAGGAAAAGAAAUCAACCGAGAUUCCCCCAGUAGCGGCGAGCGAACGGGGAGGAGCCCAGAGCCUGAAUCAGCAUGUGUGUUAGUGGAAGCGUCUGGAAAGGCGCGCGAUACAGGGUGACAGCCCCGUACACAAAAGCGCAUGUGCUGUGAGCUCGAUGAGUAGGGCGGGACACGUGGUAUCCUGUCUGAAUAUGGGGGGACCAUCCUCCAAGGCUAAAUACUCCUGACUGACCGAUAGUGAACCAGUACCGUGAGGGAAAGGCGAAAAGAACCCCGGCGAGGGGAGUGAAAAAGAACCUGAAACCGUGUACGUACAAGCAGUGGGAGCACCCUUUGGGUGUGACUGCGUACCUUUUGUAUAAUGGGUCAGCGACUUAUAUUCUGUAGCAAGGUUAACCGAAUAGGGGAGCCGGAGGGAAACCGAGUCUUAACCGGGCGUUAAGUUGCAGGGUAUAGACCCGAAACCCGGUGAUCUAGCCAUGGGCAGGUUGAAGGUUGGGUAACACUAACUGGAGGACCGAACCGACUAAUGUUGAAAAAUUAGCGGAUGACCUGUGGCUGGGGGUGAAAGGCCAAUCAAACCGGGAGAUAGCUGGUUCUCCCCGAAAGCUAUUUAGGUAGCGCCUCGUGAAUUCAUCUCCGGGGGUAGAGCACUGUUUCGGCUAGGGGGCCAUCCCGGCUUACCAACCCGAUGCAAACUGCGAAUACCGGAGAAUGUUAUCACGGGAGACACACGGCGGGUGCUAACGUCCGUCGUGAAGAGGGAAACAACCCAGACCGCCAGCUAAGGUCCCAAAGUCAUGGUUAAGUGGGAAACGAUGUGGGAAGGCCCAGACAGCCAGGAUGUUGGCUUAGAAGCAGCCAUCAUUUAAAGAAAGCGUAAUAGCUCACUGGUCGAGUCGGCCUGCGCGGAAGAUGUAACGGGGCUAAACCAUGCACCGAAGCUGCGGCAGCGACACUGUGUGUUGUUGGGUAGGGGAGCGUUCUGUAAGCCUGUGAAGGUGUGUCGUGAGGCAUGCUGGAGGUAUCAGAAGUGCGAAUGCUGACAUAAGUAACGAUAAAGCGGGUGAAAAGCCCGCUCGCCGGAAGACCAAGGGUUCCUGUCCAACGUUAAUCGGGGCAGGGUGAGUCGACCCCUAAGGCGAGGCCGAAAGGCGUAGUCGAUGGGAAACGGGUUAAUAUUCCCGUACUUGGUGUUACUGCGAAGGGGGGACGGAGAAGGCUAUGUUGGCCGGGCGACGGUUGUCCCGGUUUAAGCGUGUAGGUGUGUGUUCCAGGUAAAUCCGGUUCACUUUAACACUGAGGCGUGACGACGAGGCACUACGGUGCUGAAGCAACAAAUGCCCUGCUUCCAGGAAAAGCCUCUAAGCAUCAGGUAACAUCAAAUCGUACCCCAAACCGACACAGGUGGUCAGGUAGAGAAUACCAAGGCGCUUGAGAGAACUCGGGUGAAGGAACUAGGCAAAAUGGUGCCGUAA
rnacentral:rRNA from 1 species